GUCCUUUUGAUAUUUAUUUAAGGUCUAACCUGCCCAAUGAUAAAAUUUAAUGGCCGCGGAAUUUGACCGUGCAAAGGUAGCAUAGUCACUUGUCUUUUAAUUGAAGGCUGGAAUGAAUGGUUGGACGCAAAUAAAUACUUUCUUUAUUUUAAUUUGUUUAAUUUAAUUUUUUAGUUAAAAAGCUAAAAUUUAUUUAUAGGACGAGAAGACCCUAUAGAACUUUAUUUUUAAAAAUUUGAAUAAAUAUUAGGUUAAUAAAUUUAAUUUAUAUUUUGAAAAUUCUGUUGGGGUGACAGUGAGAUUUAAUUAACUCUUAUUUAUAACUAUCAUUAAUGAGUGUAUUUUUGAUCCAAUUUUAUUGAUUAAAAGAUUAAGUUACCUUAGGGAUAACAGCGUAAUUUUAUUGAAGAGUUCUUAUCGAUAAUAAAGUUUGCGA
rnacentral:rRNA from 1 species